rnacentral:rRNA from 1 species
UCAGAAUGAACGCUGGCGGCAUGCCUAACACAUGCAAGUCGAACGAAGCCUUCGGGUUUAGUGGCGCACGGGUGCGUAACGCGUGGGAAUCUGCCCCUUGGUUCGGAAUAACAGUUGGAAACGACUGCUAAUACCGGAUGACGACGUAAGUCCAAAGAUUUAUCGCCGAGGGAUGAGCCCGCGUAGGAUUAGGUAGUUGGUGUGGUAAAGGCGCACCAAGCCGACGAUCCUUAGCUGGUCUGAGAGGAUGAUCAGCCACACUGGGACUGAGACACGGCCCAGACUCCUACGGGAGGCAGCAGUGGGGAAUAUUGGACAAUGGGCGAAAGCCUGAUCCAGCAAUGCCGCGUGAGUGAUGAAGGCCUUAGGGUUGUAAAGCUCUUUUACCCGGGAUGAUAAUGACAG